rnacentral:rRNA from 1 species
AUCCGGAUUUAUUGGGUUUAAAGGGUGCGUAGGUUGUUCGGUAAGUCAGCGGUGAAACCUGAGCGCUCAACGUUCAGCCUGCCGUUGAAACUGCCGGGCUUGAGUUCAGUGGCGGCAGGCGGAAUUCGUGGUGUAGCGGUGAAAUGCAUAGAUAUCACGAGGAACUCCGAUUGCGAAGGCAGCUUGCCAUACUGCGACUGACACUGAAGCACGAAGGCGUGGGUAUCAAACAGGAUUAGAUACCCUGGUAGUCCACGCAGUAAACGAUGAUUACUAGGAGUUUGCGAUAUACCGUCAAGCUUCCACAGCGAAAGCGUUAAGUAAUCCACCUGGGGAGUACGCCGGCAACGGUGAAACUCAAAGGAAUUGACGGGGGCCCGCACAAGCGGAGGAACAUGUGGUUUAAUUCGAUGAUACGCGAGGAACCUUACCCGGGAUUGAAAUGUAGAUGACGGAUGGUGAAAACCGUCUUCCCUUCGGGGCGUCUAUGUAGGUGCUGCAUGGUUGUCGUCAGCUCGUGCCGUGAGGUGUCGGCUUAAGUGCCAUAACGAGCGCAACCCACAUCGGUAGUUGCUAACAGUUUUCGCUGAGGACUCUACCGAGACUGCCGUCGUAAGGCGCGAGGAAGGUGUGGAUGACGUCAAAUCAGCACGGCCCUUACAUCCGGGGCGACACACGUGUUACAAUGGGAGGGACAAGGGGCUUCUACCGGGCGACCGGAUGCGAAUCUCUAAACCCUUCCCCUUUUCGUAUCGGAGUCUGCAACUCGAC